UGCCGCGUGAAGGAUGAAGGUCCUCUGGAUUGUAAACUUCUUUUAUCUGGGACAAAANNAGGUCUUUCUAGACCCCUUGACGGUACCGGAUGAAUAAGCACCGGCUAACUCCGUGCCAGCAGCCGCGGUAAUACGGAGGGUGCAAGCGUUAUCCGGAUUCACUGGGUUUAAAGGGUGCGUAGGCGGGUAGGUAAGUCAGUGGUGAAAUCCUGGAGCUCAACUCCAGAACUGCCAUUGAUACUNUCUAUCUUGAAUAUUGUGGAGGUAAGCGGAAUAUGUCAUGUAGCGGUGAAAUGCUUAGAUAUGACAUAGAACACCCAUUGCGAAGGCAGCUUACUACGCAUAUAUUGACGCUGAGGCACGAAAGCGUGGGGAUCNAACAGGAUUAGAUACCCUGGUAGUCCACGCCCUAAACGAUGGAUACUCGACAUACGCGAUACACUGUGUGUGUCUGAGCGAAAGCAUUAAGU
rnacentral:rRNA from 1 species